rnacentral:rRNA from 1 species
GAUGAACGCUGGCGGCGUGCCUAAUACAUGCAAGUCGAGCGAACAGACGAGGAGCUUGCUCCUCUGACGUUAGCGGCGGACGGGUGAGUAACACGUGGAUAACCUACCUAUAAGACUGGGAUAACUUCGGGAAACCGGAGCUAAUACCGGAUAAUAUGUUGAAUCGCAUGGUUCAACAGUGAAAGACGGUCUUGCUGUCACUUAUAGAUGGAUCCGCGCCGCAUUAGCUAGUUGGUAAGGUAACGGCUUACCAAGGCAACGAUGCGUAGCCGACCUGAGAGGGUGAUCGGCCACACUGGAACUGAGACACGGUCCAGACUCCUACGGGAGGCAGCAGUAGGGAAUCUUCCGCAAAGGGCGAAAGCCUGACGGAGCAACGCCGCGUGAGUGAAGAAGGUCUUCGGAUCGUAAAACUCUGUUAUUAGGGAAGAACAAAUGUGUAAGUAACUAUGCACGUCUUGACGGUACCUAAUCAGAAAGCCACGGCUAACUACGUG